ensembl:misc_RNA 7SK 7SK RNA
GGAGGAGCAUAGAAUGAUCUGGCUGUGACUUCCGUCACCUCGUUGAUGAGCAGGGUUUAUUUGGCUAAUCUGGCUGGCUAGGCUGGUGCGGUCUUCCUCCCUCACCGUUCCGUGUGCAUCCCUCCUGAAGCUGCAUGCUCAGCAGAAGACGGCCACCCUGAUAGAGGAGGACCAUUUCGUCCAUCAAGGGUAUGUGAAUAGCUGCGCUCUCCUGCUAAAAAAUCUCCAAAAAGCACUUAGAAUUCCCCAGAGGCAUUGUUCUUGUCCAGAACCAAGGUCUUUAUAAUGCAGUCAUCCCUUGCACAACCAUAAUUUGGGGCCUAACUUUU